rnacentral:misc_RNA from 1 species
UGGUUCUGGCAUCGAUGAAGAACGCAGCGAAAUGCGAUAAGUAAUGCGAAUUGCAGAAUUCAGUGAAUCAUCGAAUCUUUGAACGCACAUUGCGCCCGCCAGUACUCUGGCGGGCAUGCCUGUCCGAGCGUCAUUUCAACCCUCGAGCCCCUCCGGGGGGUCGGCGUUGGGGAUCGGCCCUCCCUUCGCGGGGCGGCCGGCCCCGAAAUGCAGUGGCGGUCUCGCCGCAGCCUCCCAUGCGCAGUAGCUUGCACACUCGCACCGGGAGCGCGGCGCGUCCAACGCCGUAAAACACCCAACCUUCUGGAAUGUUGACCUCGGAUCAGGUAGGAAUACCCGCUGA